AUAUUCAUGAAAGUUUGUGAACACAGAUUUUGAUAAUGAACAACUAAACGCUUACACGCUGGACCUUUAAGGAAAAGAAACGCUUUUGCCC